rnacentral:rRNA from 1 species
GACGAACGCUGGCGGCAGGCCUAACACAUGCAAGUCGAACGCGUGGCUGACGGGUGAGUAAUGUCUGGGAACCUGCCCGUUAGAUGGGGAUAACUACUGGAAACGGUAUCUAAUACCGCAUCCCAUCCGAUGUGCCCCGGUGCGAUUAGUUAGUCGGUGGGGUAACGGCGAACCUAGGCGACGAUCCCUAGCCGGUCUGAGAGGAGGACCAUCCACACUGGAACUGAGACACGGUCCAGACUCCGACGUGAGGCAGCAGUGGGGAAUAUUGCACAAUGGGCGAAAGCCUGAUGCAGCCAUGCCGCGUGUAUGAAGAAGGCCUUCGGGUUGUAAAGUACUUUCAGCGAGGAGGCGUUACUCGCAGAAGAAGCACCGGCUAACUCCGUGCCAGCAGCCGCGGUAAUAC